rnacentral:rRNA from 1 species
CCUACGGGAGGCAGCAGUGAGGAAUAUUGGUCAAUGGGCUUACGCCUGAACCAGCCAAGUCGCGUGAGGGAAGACUGCCCUAUGGGUUGUAAACCUCUUUUGUCAGGGAGCAAGUGGCGCUACGUGUAGCGUUAUCGAGAGGACCUGAAGAAAAAGCAUCGGCUAACUCCGUGCCAGCAGCCGCGGGAAUACGGAGGAUGCGAGCGUUAUCCGGAUUGAUUGGGUUUAAAGGGUGCGUAGGCGGAAUGCCAAGUCAGCGGUAAAAUCGCGGGGCUCAACCUCGCUCCGCCGUUGAAACUGGCGUUCUUGAGUGGGCGAGAAGUAUGCGGAAUGCGUGGUGUAGCGGUGAAAUGCCUAGCUAUCACGCAGAACUCCGAUUGCGAAGGCAGCAUACCGGCGCCCAACUGACGCUGACGCACGAAAGCGUGGGUAUCGAACAGGAUUAGAUACCCUUGUAGUC